GAUGAACGCUGGCGGCGUGCCUAAUACAUGCAAGUCGAGCGGAUGGAUUAAGAGCUUGCUCUUAUGAAGUUAGCGGCGGACGGGUGAGUAACACGUGGGUAACCUGCCCAUAAGACUGGGAUAACUCCGGGAAACCGGGGCUAAUACCGGAUAACAUUUUGAACCGCAUGGUUCGAAAUUGAAAGGCGGCUUCGGCUGUCACUUAUGGAUGGACCCGCGUCGCAUUAGCUAGUUGGUGAGGUAACGGCUCACCAAGGCAACGAUGCGUAGCCGACCUGAGAGGGUGAUCGGCCACACUGGGACUGAGACACGGCCCAGACUCCUACGGGAGGCAGCAGUAGGGAAUCUUCCGCAAUGGACGAAAGUCUGACGGAGCAACGCCGCGUGAGUGAUGAAGGCUUUCGGGUCGUAAAACUCUGUUGUUAGGGAAGAACAAGUGCUAGUUGAAUAAGCUGGCACCUUGACGGUACCUAACCAGAAAGCCACGGCUAACUACGUGCCAGCCGCCGCAGUAAUAC
rnacentral:rRNA from 1 species